rnacentral:rRNA from 1 species
UACGGAGGGUGCGAGCGUUUAUCGGAAUUACUGGGCGUAAAGCGCGCGUAGGCGGCUUGUUAAGUCGGAUGUGAAAUCCCCGGGCUCAACCUGGGAAUUGCAUCCGAUACUGACGAGCUAGAGUGCGAUAGAGGGGGGUAGAAUUCCUAGUGUAGCGGUGAAAUGCGUAGAUAUUAGGAGGAAUACCGGUGGCGAAGGCGGCCCCCUGGAUCGACACUGACGCUGAGGUGCGAAAGCGUGGGUAGCAAACAGG